GAUCCGGUAGCCUAGUGGUUAGAGCGCUAGCCUCGGAUGCGGGAGGUCGUGGGUUCGAUCCCCAGUCGAGUCA